GCAUAUCAAUAAGCGGAGGAAAAGAAACCAACAGGGAUUGCCCUAGUAACGGCGAGUGAAGCGGCAACAGCUCAAAUUUGAAAUCUGGCCUCACGGUCCGAAUUGUAAUUUGUAGAGGAUGUUUCUGGCGACGUGUCUUCCGAGUUCCCUGGAACGGGACGCCAUAGAGGGUGAGAGCCCCGUCCGGUCGUACACCUAGCCUCUGUGAAACUCCUUCGACGAGUCGAGUAGUUUGGGAAUGCUGCUCUAAAUGGGAGGUAUACGUCUUCUAAAGCUAAAUACCGGCCAGAGACCGAUAGCGCACAAGUAGAGUGAUCGAAAGAUGAAAAGCACUUUGAAAAGAGGGUUAAAUAGUACGUGAAAUUGCUGAAAGGGAAGCGCUUAUGACCAGACUUGGGCUCGGUGAAUCAUCCGGCGUUCUCGCCGGUGCACUUUGCCGUCCCAGGCCAGCAUCAGUUCGCGCCGGGGGAUAAAGGUUUCGGGAAUGUAGCUCCUUCGGGAGUGUUAUAGCCCGUUGCGUAAUACCCUGGCGUGGACUGAGGUCCGCGCUCUGCAAGGAUGCUGGCGUAAUGGUCAUCAGUGACCCGUCUUGAAACACGGACC
rnacentral:rRNA from 3 species